rnacentral:lncRNA from 1 species
GCUCCUCCUCCCUCUUCUCCACUCAAAAUGAUUUGUCAUAGUUUAAUUUUAAACACUAUCAUUGACUAUUCUUUCUUUCUACCCCACCUCUUUCCACCUUUUUUUUUUUCUUGGAAGUUCCAGGAAUGACUUUAAUUAUCUCCACAAUCAAAUUCUCGUUGCUGCCUCUGUGAAAGUGUGCAGUCAUAGAUGGCAGGGAUUAUUUUCUUUAGCACUUGGGGAUACAGAAACCGGUUGUUUCAAAAUGAGAACCAGCUGGUUCCACAGAGCCCUUAUUUAAUGGGGAGCCACUUUGUACACAAAGCCUUUGCUCAGGUCAGUCAUUAUGGCAAACCCCAAAUCAGCAGUGUUUUGUCUAUCACCCUGUAUUAAAUGUCGAGCGAGGAGUGAUUUAGCAGAUAUGAUAAUAAUAAUAAUAAUAAUUAAGAAAUACCCAGCACACCCUGCAUCUUUAAUUUUGCCUCAACUAAACACUCCGGUUUGGAAGGAACAUUUCUCAAACUUCUUCCUACAGUGAUUACAAUCAUAGACCUAGUUUACCACUGCUCUCUCAUAGAUGGCUGAGGGCUCUUUUAUUUCUGUCUGCUGCUCAGGGUAGAUUGCCUGGAAAUUUGUCAGCUUUCCAGACAUGGUUUUAGCCAGCUUUGGUUUGUAUCUACGGACACCCGUUGGGCUACAGUUGCCACCUACAUAUUGUAGAAAUUAGGAGUUUAGAUAUUCUUUUUAGUUUGGACAAGUCUGUAAGCUCCAAUAGAAAAGCCUCCUUGAGGUCUGAUUAAACGGCUGGGUUUAAAAACAAUAAAGACUAUCUGCAGAGCUCAUGAGAAUGCAGGAAAGGUUUUCCCACCCAAUUCUGGCUGAUGCUUGGAAUUCCACUGUCAGAAUCUCAUCCCUUUAGCUAAGAACCUUCAAUGUAUACCAAGACAUACAAAACUUAGGGAAGGCUAGCACUUUAAUUCUAUCAUUCACAUACCUCUUCGAGGGAAUGACAUAAAGAUCUCACAUGGGUUCAGCUCUUUUUAGUUUUCAUGACAACACAGUGAGGGCACUCACCUAUUAAGGAAAUUGGAUUUGGUGUAGAAUCUCUUUCUCUUUUCCAAAUCACCACCAAAUCCAUUGCCAUUCAUCUUUCUCCUGCCAUUACCUGGCCAUUCCCAGGGUCCAAUAAACCUUUUACUUUAAGCAGGAUCAAGUGUUAAGACAAACCAACUACAGAGCUAAUGUAUAGAACAUUAAUUCUAUAGAAAUGCCCUAUAAAAAGCAAAGAAAUAAGACUAACUAUUAAAAGAAAUCCAUAUGUCUCUGGAAUUUUUAUUUAAGUUUAUAUUAGCAAUAAUGACCUUGGUUCUAGGGAAUUCGGUAACGAUUAAUGACCAGCAAGGGGUCACUGGCCUCAUGGUGCUUUGGGCCAGCAACCCCUUCCAAAGAGGACAAGAACUGGCCAUUUAUCCCAAGGAAGUGCCCUAAGGCGAGGUCCUUAUCCUCUUGCCAUCUGAUGGUAAUUUAACCUCAGCUUUUAAAGGGCCCUUAGGAGCAAAUAUACAAUGGGUUGUGCUUUCAGUAUUUUAAAGAGUUUAUUUUUGCCAUGCAAUGCCUAAUUGGGUAUCAUUGAAAAGAGUUGUCAAAAUAAAGUUGGUAAUUAUGUUCCUUUUAUUCCGGGGUACAUAUACUCAUUUUGUGUCUGCAUAUCUGCUGGCUUGUAUUGGUGUAGUGUGCAUCUAUGCAGAUGCUUAUACUCACAUUCCCAUGUCUGGGGUGUGUGUGUGUGUGUGUGUGUGUGUGUGUGUGAGAGAGAGAGAGAGAGGGAGAGAGGGGUUAAAAUACCCAAUGCCAGAUCAACAGAAUAAAUAAAACUUGAAUGAUAGAAACUUCAGUCACAUUAGUUUUGCCUGCAAGAAUAAAUCCCUGUAAUAUGUAAAAUAAGGGGCCAGAGGCAGAGUAAAAUUAGUCUUUUCUUGGUUACAGAUGACUGGUGUGGCAGUGACUGGCAUUGGC